AGCUAUGUGGCAUAGUGGAUAGAGCACUGGGCUUAGAAUCAAGAAGAUUCAUUUUUCUGAGUUCAAAUCUGGCCAUGGCUA
rnacentral:tRNA from 1 species